rnacentral:rRNA from 1 species
UACGGGGGGGGCAAGCGUUGUUCGGAAUUACUGGGCGUAAAGGGCUCGUAGGCGGCCAACUAAGUCGGACGUGAAAUCCCCAGGCUCAACCUGGGAACUGCGUCUGAUACUGGAUGGCUUGAAUCCGGGAGAGGGAUGCAGAAUUCCAGGUGUAGCGGUGAAAUGCGUAGAUAUCUGGAGGAAUACCGGUGGCGAAGGCGACAUCCUGGACCGGCAUUGACGCUGAGGAGCGAAAGCUAGGGGAGCAAACGGG